rnacentral:tRNA from 3 species
GCCGGCGUGGCGAAAUCGGCAGACGCAAGGGACUUAAAAUCCCUCGAUGGAAACAUCGUACCGGUUCAAAUCCGGUCGCCGGCACCA